rnacentral:lncRNA from 1 species
AUUUUAAAGACUUGAAAGCUCUUUGUAUUUAACAUCUCACUGACCUACUCUGUAGCAGAGCAAUUAGAUGACCACAGAGCUAACUACUCCUUGGGCAUCACGCUCCUGGCCUGAAUGCUCUACCUCUUGAAGGCAUGAAGCAUGCUGCUCCCGAGCCUGCAUGAGAAGCAAGAAGGGCUGUGCUGGGGAAAUCUGAUUCCACUGCCACGAGGACCUGCAGAGAAACAAGAACUGCUGGAUAUGUCCAGAGGAGCCAAAUGGUUGCACUAGUGCCCUACAAGUCCAAGGGGAGGAUUUGGUGUCAAAUGGAGGCAAUGACAGCCAUUGAAGCCAUUCUUGUGUGUCUGAGAAGAUAUUUCUUCCUGCCUCUGUGUGAGAAUGGGCCAGUCCCAAGUGCCGCUCUGCAAUUAGGAUAUUAAUAGCCCUAUUACUCUGUGCCAUCUAGUUUGCUUUAAAAUUCAUGGUGCAGUUAGAUGAGAUUUGUUCAUAACAGGAAAAGUACAGAGGUGCAGGAAGACUGAGUCAGAACAGAGCUUUGAAAUGCAUCAAGCAACCAUUUAAUUAAAG